CUAACAUAUGUGCGAGUGUUAAGCCCUGGACUUGAUACGGCUCUGGGGACAGAGGACCGCAGCGCGCCUUCUUGGCAUUGGCUUCGGCCUUUUCCGCGCUAAGGAUUCUGGCUUAAUGGCUUUAAGCGACCCGUCUUGAAACACGGACCAAGCUGAGACUACCAAGGCACACAGGGGAUAGG
rnacentral:rRNA from 1 species